UACGUAGGUGGCAAGCGUUGUCCGGAAUUACUGGGUGUAAAGCGCGUGUAGGCGGCAGACCAAGUCGGCGGUGAAAGCGCCCGGCUCAACUGGGCGAGGUCCGUGGAAACUGGUCAGCUGGAGGACGGUAGAGGCGAGUGGAAUUCCCGGUGUAGUGGUGAAAUGCGUAGAUAUCUGGAGGAACACCGGUGGCGAAGGCGGCAUCCUGGACCGAUAUUGACGCUGAUGCGCGAAAGCCAGGGGAGCAAACGGG
rnacentral:rRNA from 1 species